GCCGCUGUAGCUCAGCUGGUAGAGCACACGCCUGUUAAGCGUGCGGUCGUCGGUUCGAACCCGACCGGCGGCG
rnacentral:tRNA from 4 species